CACUUUUCUGUAACCUUAUGAACAUUUCAGAGAGGAUGGGAGCCCCUGGGAACCCACAAAGAACUCCAGGACCUGCAGUCAGCAUUUUAUCAACGGCGAAAGAUCAAAUGAUCCGAGAAGUCCAGCUUAUGUGCCAACUAUAUUUCCAAGCGCGUAUGGACGUACUAAGCAUGGCACUUCCAAGAGGUACCAAAGGUUGCGGGCACGAGAGCAAAGGGUGGACAGCAUUACAGACGUGCAGGCUCUGGAAGAUUUCAUGAUCGACUGCACCUCAGAGGAAGAAAAGGUAAGUGUAUGUUGGAUCACAAACGGACCCUUGUGACAGGAGAGCACAGUCUGAAACACCAAGCCUGUUCCUUUGCUGUAUGCAAGGCUGCAAUGCCGAAACACAAGCUGUGCUUCCUAUGAAGAAGACUACCAAGGAUGUAGCAUUUGGCACAACGAAUGAGCUCAAGGACACUGAAUGUGACCCGAUGAAUGUGGUGGUGUCAACGAACAGUCCAAAUUUCCAAGGCUAUCAGACACUUGCAGCUUGUACUCCAGACAAGGCUUCAGACAUACUGAAAUCCAUUGCAGGAAUUUCAGCCCGAGUCUUCGAAAAGCUGCGAGCAAUUGUUAUUGCGUCUUUCAAAGCACAGAAGACUGAAGGGGUUGUUAGCGCUUCAAACAAGCUUCUGUUGUUUUUGACGAAGCUAAAGCUUAAUCUGUCGUACUGUUCUCUUGCAGUACUUUUCGGAGUACACAGGUCUACCUGCUCUAGGUACUUCGUCUCUGUGCUUGACGUUCUCCAUGAAAAAUUGAGACCCCUCAUAUACUGGCCGUCAUGAUUGACCAACAGAAUGAUGAACCCCAAAAGCUUCCUACCGCAUUAUGCCGACUGUCAAGUCAUUACUGGCUGCACAGAAGUUCCUUGUGCGGCACCUGGCACCAUUCAUGAGCAUGUCCUCAUGUUUUCAUACUACAAAGGUUGCUUUAAGGUAAAGUUCCUUGUGGGUAUCACGCCAAGCGGCAUAAUAAGCUUUCUCUCAAGACCCUAUGGCGGCCGUUCUACAGACUCGUUUAUAACGUCGGAUUGUGGAAUUUUGCACCUUUUGAAACCGGGGGAUCUAGUGUUGGCCGACAAAGGCUUUCCUCAAAUAAGAAGCACACUUGCAGAGAAUGGUAUAAAAUUUCAGAUGCGAACAUUUUCCCGCCCUAACCAGCCUUUCACCCGAGAAGAACUGAACGCCACAUAUAAAGUUGCUAGUGCGAGAAUCCACGUGGAAAGGUCUAUCCAGCGGAUGAAAAUUUAUAGCAUUCUGUCA